UUAACUCAAAUUUGUAUUAAGUUGGAACGUUUGCCUACGUUUGUCGCGAAGGGCGAUUUUCCAACUGCCUAAAAAUUUGGGUUA
rfam:Bombyx mori DNA, contig: Bm_scaf13_contig10575, strain: p50T/Dazao, build 2, whole genome shotgun sequence.